UUAAUUGAAACCAAAAUAGAGGUAUAUCACUGUUAAUGAUAAAAAUGGGGACCCCCAAUUAAA
rnacentral:tRNA from 1 species